AAUAGAUACCCGGGUAGUCCACGCCGUAAACGAUGAGUGCUAAGUGUUAGAGGGUUUCCGCCCUUUAGUGCUGCAGCAAACGCAUUAAGCACUCCGCCUGGGGAGUACGGCCGCAAGGCUGAAACUCAAAGGAAUUGACGGGGGCCCGCACAAGCGGUGGAGCAUGUGGUUUAAUUCGAAGCAACGCGAAGAACCUUACCAGGUCUUGACAUCUCCUGACAACCCUAGAGAUAGGGCGUUCCCCUUCGGGGGACAGGAUGACAGGUGGUGCAUGGUUGUCGUCAGCUCGUGUCGUGAGAUGUUGGGUUAAGUCCCGCAACGAGCGCAACCCUUGAUCUUAGUUGCCAGCAUUCAGUUGGGCACUCUAAGGUGACUGCCGGUGACAAACCGGAGGAAGGUGGGGAUGACGUCAAAUCAUCAUGCCCCUUAUGACCUGGGCUACACACGUGCUACAAUGGAUGGUACAAAGGGCUAGCAAGACCGCGAGGUUAAGCGAAUCCCAUAAAACCAUUCUCAGUUCGGAUUGCAGGCU
rnacentral:rRNA from 1 species